rnacentral:rRNA from 1 species
AUACGGAGGAUCCGAGCGUUAUCCGGAUUUAUUGGGUUUAAAGGGUGCGCAGGCGGGAGAUUAAGUCGGCGGCGAAAUUUUGCAGCUCAACUGUGAAAGUGCCUUUGGAAAUGGUUUCCUUGAGUGGAGAUGAAGUAGGCGGAACUUGUGGUGUAGCGGUGAAAUGCAUAGAUAUCACGAGGAACUCCGAUUGCGCAGGCAGCUUACUAAACUACUACUGACGCUCAGGCACGAAGGCGUGGGGAUCAAACAGGAUUAGAUACCCUGGUAGUCCACGCAGUAAACGAUGAUUACUAGCUGUUUGCGAUACAAUGUAAGCGGCUGAGCGAAAGCGUUAAGUAAUCCACCUGGGGAGUACGUUCGCAAGAAUGAAACUCAAAGGAAUUGACGGGG